CAGUCGCCGCGGUAAAACGAAGGGGGCUAGCGUUGCUCGGAAUGACUGGGCGUAAAGGGCGCGUAGGCGGCGGACACAGUCAGGCGUGAAAUUCCUGGGCUUAACCUGGGAACUGCGCUUGUGACUGCACAGCUAGAGUAUGGCAGAGGGGGGUGGAAUUCCACGCGUAGCAGUGAAAUGCGUAGAGAUGUGGAGGAACACCGAUGGCGAAGGCAGCCCCCUGGGCCAAUACUGACGCUCAUGCACGAAAGCGUGGGGAGCAAACAGGAUUAGAUACCCCUGUAGUCCCUGUCUCUUAUAC
rnacentral:rRNA from 1 species